UGGCUCCAGCAUCGAUGAAGAACGCAGCGAAACGCGAUAUGUAAUGUGAAUUGCAGAAUUCAGUGAAUCAUCGAAUCUUUGAACGCACAUGGCGCCUUCCAGUAUCCUGGGAGGCAUGCCUGUCCGAGCGUCGUUUCAACCCUCGAGCCCCCGUGGCCCGGCGUUGGGGAUCUGCCCAGGCAGUCCCCGAAAACCAGUGGCGGAACCGUUAUAGGCCCUUCCCUUGCGUAGUAGCAUUCGCCUCGCAUCGGAAGCCGGCGGGCUUCCAGCCUCUAAACCCCCAUCAAGUCCGCCCCGCGGCGGCACCAAGGUUGACCUCGGAUCAGGUAGGAAUACCCGCUGA
rnacentral:misc_RNA from 1 species